CGCCGAGAACGUAAGCUUUGAUCGCGCCAUCGCUCGAAGACCCGAUCAUCUCGUCAUGAGCGUGGAGCUCAAUGUGGAGAUGCAAGAGGAGAACUCCUACACCGUCAAGCGUGCUCUUUGCAACUUGCUGCUGUCGCUGUGCGUGGUUAUCCCGUUCUUACCGUGGCUCUUCCGGGUACAUUUGCUCAAGCUAUAAAACUUUUCAUUGCUAUCGCCCCAGGGAGCUCGCUCACAGGGACGAUCAACAUUGCAACAACAGGGACAGUCCAGGAAUCUUCUUUGGUUUUUUUGGUUUUUUUUUUCUUUAAACAGCUUAGCUUUUGUUUUUGGCUCGCUCUGGACAAAACAAGACAGGGACUUUAACAGGAGCGUACGAAAGGCGUGUUGUACUCACGUACUAUUCCGUGACACGGAAGAAAUGCACGGAAUCUACGUGGUGGGUUUAAAGUUAAUAAUGCGGCUUUUCCUAAGUUUAUACGCAGAGAAAGAGUUCCAAAUAAGUCCUCUUGGAAGAGGUACAAAUUAGGGUGCUGUGUGGGUAGAUCUACUGCUAUUUAUUUUCCUUCCCUAUUUU